UGAGUACGAGAUGCUACGGCAUCGAAGCAGUCUAUGUCAUACUUCCAAGAAAAGCUUGCACUGUCAGAAACAGAUAAUGCCUGUACCAUAACCGACACAGGUGGGUAGGUAGAGUAUACUAAGGGGCGCGAGAUAACUCUCUCUAAGGAACUCGGCAAAAUGACUCCGUAACUUCGGGAGAAGGAGUGCCUUAUUUUUAAGGUUGCAAUAACAAGAUCCAAGCAACUGUUUACCAAAAACACAGGUCUCCGCUAAGUCGUAAGACGAUGUAUGGGGGCUGACGCCUGCCCAGUGCCAGAAGGUUAAAGAAGUCGGUUAGCAUUCGCGAAGCUGGUAACUGAAGCCCUGGUGAACGGCGGCCGUAACGAUAACGGUCCUAAGGUAGCGAAAUUCCUUGUCGGGUAAGUUCCGACCCGCACGAAAGGCGUAAUGAUUUGGAUACUGUCUCGGAGAGGGGCUCGGUGAAAUAGACUUGUCUGUGAAGAUGCGGACUACCUGCACCUGGACAGAAAGACCCUAUGAAGCUUUACUGUAACUUGAAAUUGAAAUUGGACUUUACUUGCGCAGUAUAGGUGGGAGGCGUUGAAAAUAUUCUUGCGGGAAUAUUGGAGCCAUCAGUGAGAUACCACUCUUGUAAUGUUAGAUUUCUAACUUUAUAUCAUUAUCUGGUUAAAGAACAGUUUCAGGCGGGCAGUUUGACUGGGGCGGUCGCCUCCCAAAUGGUAACGGAGGCGCACAAAGGUUUCCUCUGAACGGGUAGAAAUCGUAUCUAGAGUGUAAAGGCAUAAGGAAGCUUGACUGUGAGACCUACAAGUCGAGCAGGGACGAAAGUCGGUCUUAGUGAUCUGACGGUGCUGAGUGGAAAGGCCGUCACUCAACGGAUAAAAGUUACUCUAGGAUAACAGGCUGAUCUCCCCCAAGAGUUCACAUCGACGGGGAGGUUUGGCACCUCGAUGUCGGCUCAUCGCAUCCUGGGGCGGUAGUACGUCCCAAGAGUUGGGCUGUUCGCCCAUGAAAGCGGUACGCGAGCUGGGUUCAGAACGUCGUGAGACAGUUCGGUCCAUAUCCGGUGUAGGCGUUAGAAUAUUGAGAGGAGCCUUCUUUAGUACGAGAGGACCGAGAAGGACAUACCUCUGGUGUACCAGUUAUCGUGCCAACGGUAAACGCUGGGUAGCUAUGUAUGGAGUGGAUAACCGCUGAAAGCAUCUAAGUGGGAAGCCCACCUCAAGAUAAGUAUUCUCAC
rnacentral:rRNA from 1 species